rnacentral:rRNA from 1 species
AUUGAACGCUGGCGGCAGGCCUAACACAUGCAAGUCGAGCGGCAGCGGGAAAGUAGCUUGCUACUUUUGCCGGCGAGCGGCGGACGGGUGAGUAAUGGCUGGGAAAUUGCCCAGUCGAGGGGGAUAACAGUUGGAAACGACUGCUAAUACCGCAUACGCCCUACGGGGGAAAGCAGGGGACCUUCAGGCCUUGCGCGAUUGGAUAUGCCCAGGGGGGAUUAGCUAGUUGGUGAGGUAAUGGCUCACCAAGGCGACGAUCCCUAGCUGGUCUGAGAGGAUGAUCAGCCACACUGGAACUGAGACACGGUCCAGACUCCUACGGGAGGCAGCAGUGGGGAAUAUUGCACAAUGGGGGAAACCCUGAUGCAGCCAUGCCGCGUGUGUGAAGAAGGCCUUCGGGUUGUAAAGCACUUUCAGCGAGGAGGAAAGGUUGAUGCCUAAUACGUAUCAACUGUGACGUUACUCGCAGAAGAAGCACCGGCUAACUCCGUGCCAGCCGCCGCAGUAA